UGUUAUGUACAUGCCUACAACGUUAAUGCACCAGAUCCUAUCAAAACUCCGUAGUUAAGCACGCUUGGGCUAGAGAAGUACUGGGAUGGAUGACCUCCCAUGAAGUCAUAUUGUUUUAUAU
rnacentral:rRNA from 1 species